CCUACGGGAGGCAGCAGUAGGGAAUAUUCCUCAAUGGGGGAAACCCUGAUGCAGCAACGCCGCGUGAGGGAUGAAGGUUUUCGGUUUGUAAACCCCUGUUGUUAGGGAAGAAAAUGUCGGUAUCUAACGAAUACGCCCCGGCUAAUUCCGUGCCAGCAGCCGCGGUCAUACGGAGGGUGCAAGCGUUAUUCGGUAUCACUGGGCGUAAAGUGCGCGUAGGCGGGUUAGCAAGUCAGAUGUGAAAUCCUAUGGCUUAAACAUGGAAGUGCAUUGGAAACUGUUAAUCUAGAGUUUGGGAGAGGUAAGUGGAAUUCUUGGUGUAGGGGUGAAAUGCGUAGAGAUUAGGAGGAAUACUAGUGGCGAAGGCGGCUUUCUGGAACGUAACUGACGCUGAGGCGCGAAAGCGUGGGGAGCAAACAGGAUUAGAUACCCGAGUAGUC
rnacentral:rRNA from 1 species